UCUCUGCUGCAUUUUGCAUGAGCUAUCUAGGUCAUUAGCAUUUUAGCGUAUGCAAGACUUGACAAAGCUGAUGAGAAGCCAGAUGGGCCCCUCUCCUCUUUUUUUUGCACCACUUGGGAUCUGAGCGAAAGGAUUGACUGCAGCAGGCGAACGGGGGAAGGUUUAUUGCGCUCCUCCAGACCCCCCCUUUAUAGCAGCGCGGCGGGGCUCGGGGAAGGCGGCAGAGAGCGGGCAGCGGCGGGCAGAGACGGAGGGCAGGUAACGGGGCAGCGCCGGCCCCCCCCGCCGCCCCGGCCCCAUCCCGGGGCAGCACCCCACAGCCUUUGUGCUGGGGAGAAAAGAAGGGGGAGCGCUGUGUCUGCAGGGCGAGGCCGGGCGUAAAUCUCUUGGAGGGAUAAACAUGUCAUUUGUUCCCUUUGUAUGCUGGAGGCCACCCUGUCCCGCAUCCCUCCAUCCCCAUGGCCGGCCCAGUAACCGUCCCAGUGCUCCCAGCAGGUGCCUCGCACUGGGCAAAGAAGGGCCUUACUGGAGGGGACGGUCCCCCACCCCACGGGGUGGCUGCAGAGCUGCGCCCGGGCUGGGGGCCCUUUGAUGAUGGCGUGGGGGGGUCCGUCUCUCUUUGCAGCUCUGCGUGCAGACCCUCGCCUCUGGGACGGUGCCCACGGGAGCAUUGACAGUGGCUCAGGGUCCCUGGGACGCCUCUUUGCACCCCCGUCCCCGGGGUGCCGCAGGUAUUUCGGGGCAGCCCUCCCUGGGCUUGCAUCCCAGCUGGUGCGGAUGCCGCAAGGAGCCCGUCGGGUCGUGCCGUGCCAAUAAAGCUCUUUCGCUGCGGGUUCCCGCAUCCUCUCCUUUGUUCGCGGAGGUUUCUCACCCAUCUCUUCCAGCGGUGGAGGCAGGUUCCCCCCGAAGGACCCACACUCAGCACCAGGUGGGGGAUGAAUAUUAAAAUCCACCCCAAAAUAAAAACCUCAGCCUUUGAAUUUGGCAGCCCAUGGUCACCUGCUCAACCCUGGGCAGGCGCCUUCGCAUCCUGGACCUCCAGGAGAGUCUAAACUGCCAGAGGUCUCCUGUUUAAUGAAU